CCUACGGGUGGCAGCAGUGGGGAAUAUUGCACAAUGGGGGAAACCCUGAUGCAGCGACGCCGCGUGCGUGAAGAAGUAAUUCGUUAUUUUAAGCUCUAUCUGCAGGGGAGAAAAUGACGGUACCUGAGUAUGAAGCCCCGGCUAACUACGUUACAGCAGCCGCGGCAAUACGUCGGGGGCAAGCGUUAUACGGAUUUACUGGGUGUAAAGGGAGCGUAGUCGGCAGUGCAGGUCUGGAGUGAAAGGCGGGGGCUCAAGCGCCGGACUGCUCUUGAAACUGGACGGCUGGAGUGCAGGAGAGGUAAGUGGAAUUGCUAGUGUAGCGGUGAAAUGCGUAGAUAUUAGGAGGAACACCAGUGGCGAAGGCAGCUUACCGGACUGUAACUGACGUUGAGGCUCGAAAGCGUGGGGAGCAAACAGGAUUAGAUACCCCGGUAGUC
rnacentral:rRNA from 1 species